rnacentral:sRNA from 1 species
UCAAAUUCAAUAUAAUUGAUGAUAAGGUUUUUUUUAUGGAUGCCAUAUCUCAGGAGCUUUCACUUACCCCUUUAAUGGCUUCACUCUUCUUUGGAUUGAAGGGAGCUCUUCAUCUCUCCAUCCCUAUCUCUCUCUCUCUCUAUC